UAACUCUGGUUUCCCUUCAAAACGCAUAAAUCUUUCGCCUUUUACUAAAGAUUUCCGUGGAGGGGAACAACUCAAUGAGUCUUAUUCAAUUUUUUUCUAUAGCCCACUUCGGUGGGUUCA
rnacentral:snRNA from 1 species